AUUGAACGCUGGCGGCAGGCCUAACACAUGCAAGUCGAGCGAGCGGCGGACGGGUGAGUAAUGUAUGGGGACUGCCCGAUAGAGGGGGAUAACUACUGGAAACGGUGGCUAAUACCGCAUACUAUCGGAUAACCCAUAUGGGAUUAGCUAGUAGGUGGGGUAAAGGCUCACCUAGGCGACGAUCCCUAGCUGGUCUGAGAGGAUGACCAGCAACACUGGGACUGGGAAACGGCCCAGACUCCUACGGAGGAACCAGUGGGGAAUAUUGCACAAGGGGGGAAAGCCUGAGGCAGCCAUGCCGGGUGGAUGAAGAAGGCCUUAGGGUUGUAAAGUACUUUCAGCGGGGAGGCGUUACCCGCAGAAGAAGCACCGGCUAACUCCGUGCCAGCAGCCGCGGUAAUUC
rnacentral:rRNA from 1 species